rnacentral:rRNA from 1 species
UAAGGGGAACGCAGGCGGUCUUUUAAGUCUGAUGUGAAAGCCUUCGGCGUAACCGGAGUAGUGCAUUGGAAACUGGGGGACUUGAGUGCAGAAGAGGAGAGUGAAACUCAAUGUGUAGCGGUGAAAUGCGUAGAUAGAUGGAAGAACACCAGUGGCGAGAGCGGCUCUCUGGUCUGUAACUGACGCUGAGGUUCGAAAGCGUGGGUAGCAAACAGG